AGCUAUGAUGUUCUGUAUGCAUUGCAUGCUGGAAAUUACCGACCGAGGCAUCUGUCACUGAGGUUAUCAAAGGCUAAAUCUGAGC
rfam:Blumeria graminis f. sp. hordei DH14, WGS project CATH01000000 data, contig: 000685